GGGUUGGAGAGAGCAGCCUUCACUGAAGAGUAUCACAGGGCUGACUGUACUACCCAACACUA
rnacentral:scRNA from 1 species